UCCGGUUUGUCACCGGCAGUCUACUUAGAGUGCCUUAUAAAUAAGUAGCAACUAAGUAUAGGGGUUGCGCUCGUUAUAGGACUUGACCAAACAUCUCACGACACGAGCUGACGACAGCCAUGCAGCACCUGUCACUCAUCCAGCCGAACUGAAGGAAAUCAUCUCUGAAAUCCGCGAUGAGGAUGUCAAACGCUGGUAAGGUUCUGCGCGUUGCUUCGAAUUAAACCACAUGCUCCGCCGCUUGUGCAGGCCCCCGUCAAUUUCUUUGAGUUUUAACCUUGCGGCCGUACUCCCCAGGCGGUCAACUUCACGCGUUAGCUUCGUUACCAAGGAAUUGCUUCCCCGACAACCAGUUGACAUAGUUUAGGGCGUGGACUAC
rnacentral:misc_RNA from 1 species